CCUACGGGGGGCAGCAGUGGGGAAUAUUGCACAAUGGGGGAAACCCUGAUGCAGCGACGCCGCGUGAGCGAUGAAGUAUGUCGGUAUGUAAAGCUCUAUCAGCAGGGAAGAAGAUGACGGUACCUGACUAAGAAGCCCCGGCUAACUACGUGCCAGCAGCCGCGGUAAUACGUAGGGGGCAAGAGUUAUCCGGAGUUAUUGGGGUUAAAGGGAGCGUAGGCCGGCUUUUAAGUCAGCUGUGAAAGUCCGCGGCUCAACCGUGGAAUUGCAGUUGAAACUGGAGGCCUUGAGUGCACACAGGGAUGCCGGAAUUCAUGGUGUAGCGGUGAAAUGCUUAGAUAUCAUGAAGAACUCCGAUCGCGAAGGCAAGUGUCCGGGGUGCAACUGACGCUGAGGCUCGAAAGUGCGGGUAUCAAACAGGAUUAGAUACCCGUAGUC
rnacentral:rRNA from 1 species